rnacentral:rRNA from 1 species
UUGAUCCUGCCGGACCCGACUGCUAUCAGAAUAGGACUAAGCCAUGCGAGUCAACGUAGCAAUACGUGGCAUACGGCUCAGUAACACGUAGUCAACAUGCCCAGGGGACGUGGAUAACCUCGGGAAACUGAGGAUAAACCGCGAUAGGUCAUAAUAUCUGGAAUGAUUUCUGGCUGAAAUCUAUAUGGCCCCUGGAUUGGACUGCGGCCGAUCAGGCUGUUGGUGAGGUAAUGGCCCACCAAACCUAAAACCGGUACGGGCUCUGAGAGGAGAAGCCCGGAGAUGGGCACUGAGACAAGGGCCCAGGCCCUAUGGGGCGCAGCAGGCGCGAAAACUCUGCAAUAAGCGAAAGCUUGACAGGGUUAUUCUGAGUGAUUUCCGCUAAGGAAAUCUUUUGGCACCUCUAAAAAUGGUGCAGAAUAAGGGGUGGGCAAGCCUGGUGUCAGUCGCCGCGGUAAUACCAGCACCCCGAGUGGUCGGGACGAUUAUUGGGCCUAAAGCAUCCGUAGCCGGUUCUACAAGUCUUCCGUUAAAUCCACCUGCUUAACAGAUGGGCUGCGGAGGAUACUAUGGAGCUAGGAGGCGGGAGAGGCAAGCGGUACUUAGUGGGUAGGGGUAAAAUCCGUUGAUCCAUUGAAGACCACCAGUGGCGAAGGCGGCUUGCCAGAACGCACUCGACGGUGAGGGAUGAAAGCUGGGGGAGCAAACCGGAUUAGAUACC